AGCAAACUCACCUCAAGUGAAGAAAAGCAAAACAACUUAAAACUUGGGUAUCAAAAAUUGCAACUAGAAGUUAUUAAAUAUAAAACCCAGUGUAUUCGAUUCAAAGAGAAACUUGAAAUGCAUAGCAACGAUCAAGAAAAAUUCAUUGAUUUACACAGGGAAAAGUCAAAUCUGUUGAAACGUAUUGCAGAAUUAGAAUCCAUAGUUGAACUUAACAAAAGUACACCACCCAAAACUAAGGCACUAAGCAACUCAAAUAAAAGUCCAGAUUCUCCAUAUUUACAA